UACGGGGGGGGCAAGCGUUGUUCGGAAUUACUGGGCAUAAAGCGCACGUAGGCGGUUCGUUAAGUCAUGUGUGAAAUCCCUCGGCUCAACCGAGGAAUUGCGCCUGAUACUGGCGGGCUAGAGAUCGAUAGGGGUGAGUGGAACUCCAGGUGGAGCGGUGAAAUGCGUAGAUAUCUGGAGGAACACCGGUGGCGAAAGCGGCUCACUGGAUCGAUACUGACGCUGAGGUGCGAAAGCUAGGGUAGCAAACGGG
rnacentral:rRNA from 1 species